rnacentral:rRNA from 1 species
UACGUAGGGUGCGAGCGUUAAUCGGAAUUACUGGGCGUAAAGCGUGCGCAGGCGGUUUUGUAAGCCAGAUGUGAAAUCCCCGGGCUUAACCUGGGAAUGGCAUUUGGGACUGCAAGGCUGGAGUGUGGCAGAGGAGACUGGAAUUCCCGGUGUAGCAGUGAAAUGCGUAGAUAUCGGGAGGAACACCAGCGGCGAAGGCGGCGACCUGGGUAGAUACUGACGCUGAGGUGCGAAAGCGUGGGGAGCAAACAGGG